AUACCACCAUUCCAUGAGCUAAUCUGGGACUAAGCACACAAUUACACCUCGCACAGGUACGCAUGCUUCAUGCAGGCCACGACUUUCCCUUACUGUACGCCAGGGCUUUGUGUAUUGCACCAUGUCACAAGCAGAAGUUUGUUAAAGUUCAAGAACUUCGCUGUUAUAUUCAUGGUAAUUUUUGCCUUUUUCUCUAAGCUUACAAACCAAGCUUCUUACUUAAAACCUCCUGUGCUGUCACUCAGCUGUCACGUCUCCAAAGUCAAACACUCACAAUCAUUCCUAAAUCCAUUUCGUUACGUCUAACCCUUCCACUAAGCUUGAACAUCAUCAUGUCUCCUCCGCUGGUCUCUUUUAGCAAGCACUACAGCAGCAGCUUCAAACACUUACACCCCAGUCUACAUCACAAAGCGAUGGAAUCACAAGAAAGCAUCAGCUCAGGUACUUUCAUACCUUAAUCAGAGUAAAGCUCCUUACAAGCUUUCGUUACUCAUUCUGUAUUAACUUGCAAUAAAGUGUGUUUCUUUUAAUCCUCUUUUGCCCUCUUUUUACAGGCCUACUCGUACGUUGGUUUCGG